UGCGUAGGGUGCAAGCGUUGUCCGGAAUUAUUGGGCGUAAAGAGCUCGUAGGCGGUUUGUCGCGUCUGCUGUGAAAACCCGAGGCUCAACCUCGGGCCUGCAGUGGGUACGGGCAGACUAGAGUGCGGUAGGGGAGAUUGGAAUUCCUGGUGUAGCGGUGGAAUGCGCAGAUAUCAGGAGGAACACCGAUGGCGAAGGCGGCAUCCUGGACCAAUAUUGACGCUGAGGAGCGAAAGCCAGGGGAGCAAACGGG
rnacentral:rRNA from 1 species